GCCUUCGUGGUGUAGUGGUCAGCACGCUCGACGCGUAACUGAGAGGUCCGUGGUUCGAUUCCCGGCUAAGGCU
rnacentral:tRNA from 1 species